rnacentral:rRNA from 1 species
UGCAAGUCGAGCGAACAGAUAAGGAGCUUGCUCCUUUGACGUUAGCGGCGGACGGGUGAGUAACACGUGGGUAACCUACCUAUAAGACUGGGAUAACUUCGGGAAACCGGAGCUAAUACCGGAUAACAUUUGGAACCGCAUGGUUCUAAAGUGAAAGAUGGUUUUGCUAUCACUUAUAGAUGGACCCGCGCCGUAUUAGCUAGUUGGUAAGGUAACGGCUUACCAAGGCGACGAUACGUAGCCGACCUGAGAGGGUGAUCGGCCACACUGGAACUGAGACACGGUCCAGACUCCUACGGGAGGCAGCAGUAGGGAAUCUUCCGCAAUGGGCGAAAGCCUGACGGAGCAACGCCGCGUGAGUGAUGAAGGGUUUCGGCUCGUAAAACUCUGUUAUUAGGGAAGAACAAACGUGUAAGUAACUGUGCACGUCUUGACGGUACCUAAUCAGAAAGCCACGGCUAACUACGUGCCAGCAGCCGCGGUAAUACGUAGGUGGCAAGCGUUAUCCGGAAUUAUUGGGCGUAAAGCGCGCGUAGGCGGUUUCUUAAGUCUGAUGUGAAAGCCCACGGCUCAACCGUGGAGGGUCAUUGGAAACUGGGAAACUUGAGUGCAGAAGAGGAAAGUGGAAUUCCAUGUGUAGCGGUGAAAUGCGCAGAGAUAUGGAGGAACACCAGUGGCGAAGGCGACUUUCUGGUCUGUAACUGACGCUGAUGUGCGAAAGCGUGGGGAUCAAACAGGAUUAGAUACCCUGGUAGUCCACGCCGUAAACGAUGAGUGCUAAGUGUUAGGGGGUUUCCGCCCCUUAGUGCUGCAGCUAACGCAUUAAGCACUCCGCCUGGGGAGUACGACCGCAAGGUUGAAACUCAAAGGAAUUGACGGGGACCCGCACAAGCGGUGGAGCAUGUGGUUUAAUUCGAAGCAACGCGAAGAACCUUACCAAAUCUUGACAUCCUUUGAAAACUCUAGAGAUAGAGCCUUCCCCUUCGGGGGACAAAGUGACAGGUGGUGCAUGGUUGUCGUCAGCUCGUGUCGUGAGAUGUUGGGUUAAGUCCCGCAACGAGCGCAACCCUUAAGCUUAGUUGCCAUCAUUAAGUUGGGCACUCUAGGUUGACUGCCGGUGACAAACCGGAGGAAGGUGGGGAUGACGUCAAAUCAUCAUGCCCCUUAUGAUUUGGGCUACACACGUGCUACAAUGGACAAUACAAAGGGCAGCUAAACCGCGAGGUCAUGCAAAUCCCAUAAAGUUGUUCUCAGUUCGGAUUGUAGUCUGCAACUCGACUACAUGAAGCUGGAAUCGCUAGUAAUCGUAGAUCAGCAUGCUACGGUGAAUACGUUCCCGGGUCUUGUACACACCGCCCGUCACACCACGAGAGUUUGUAACACCCGAAGCCGGUGGAGUAACCAUUUAUGGAGCUAGCC